UUGAGAAUGCAUCAAGACAUAUAGAUAUUACACAAUAGGGCCGGUAUUCGCCCGUAGUCACGGGAGACUUUUAAUGUUUAAAGUUAGCCCGAUUGAAAAAUAAAAUAAAAUAGAAUCAAUUUUUUUUUUUUUUUACUUUUUAAACUUUUUUCAGAGACAACGGUACGGUGCAAGUUGCAAAAACCUAUCCAACACAACAUGUUGACGGCUUGUAAGAGUUAAUUUCCGCGUUAUAACUAGUAACUCUGUUCUCAUCGACAGCACCAAAAGGUCUGAUACAACUAGUUAAAUUCGUUGUUUGUUUGUUUGUUUUUCCCAUGAAGCCUGCUGUGACGAAGUACGUCGCUCAGGUUAACGCAGGGGUCACUAACAGGUGGACCGGGGUCCGAGUCCGGACCCAGACACCACCCUAUAGGGCUUUGGAGUUGACGUCACGCCGCAAUGCAUUGUGGGAGCGCGGCACCAUUUUCGGGGUCUACAAAUCAAAACAAACACACUGUGCUGGAACGACGACUACAAGAAAAAUGCUUAAAAGCAGCUCAAAAGACAAUUGACUGUAUAGAGACCGAUUGCGUCCAGAGGCGAAGCAGCGGUACUUGCAAAAAAUAGCGUGCAUUGGAAAUGUGGACCCUUAUGAAGUACGGCCGUGGAGUAGAAACCCUGAAGACCUACCGCUAUUGACGUAGCCUGACAUAUUUUCGUACCUUGUCUGUGGAGUCAGCGCGUACAAGUCGUCAUUCAAACAAAGGUACUGCACUCUCAAAGACUGAAUGAACCAGCAUUGCAGCCAUGGGUCACUGUGAGCAUCACAGGGAAGGUUGAAGCCGCCCACUGCACCUGUAUGGCCUGAGUCAAAGACACCUGCAGCCAUGUCGCUGCUCUUCUGUUUAAUGUAGAAGCAAAAGUGCGGAUCCGUGGCACAAGGACUAUUACAGAUGAACCUGCAUACUGGGUUUUGCCUGGUAAUAUGACCAAGAUACAGCCAGAGGUUGGCCAUAAGAUAGACUUCUCCUCUUCAGCUGCCCAAAAAAGGCUCUUGAUCAAAACAUAAACAGACCAUCCGUAUUGAAAGGUAAAAGGAGCCGUCCUCAAAAAAGAAAAAUCCCACCUGCUACUGUGGAGGAGUUGUCACUACUAUAAUGCCAUAAUGUUUUAUCUAGGCGUCUAGAUUUAUACCUGUAGUGCACUGCCAUGUAAAUAA